CUGGGGCGGGUGGUGCCCGCGGAGCUCUUGGUGGGCGAGACCCGGGCCUGGGCCGGCCAACAGCCGGGUUCAAGCCCCCAGUAGGAGCCUCCUGGCAAGCAGAAACUGAUGCAGCUCUUGCAGAUGCUCGUAAACAUCUAGUGUUGGUCAUGGGCUGUGGCAGUUCAAAAAAUUCCAGUUGAUGAGGAAGUGCUGACAGAAAUGUAGGUGACAGAACUGGUUCCCUUGUACCUUACAACCAAGUUGUGGUGUUGGAUCUCUGCACAUGUUGUUGCCUGCACACAGACCCUCACAGUCAUGACUAAGAUCUCCCUGGAAAACCUGAUGUAAAACCCAGAUGUGUUUGCUCAUGAAAUAAAUAAAAGCUCUCUCAGGACUUCAUUUUUGUGAGGGUUCAAUAUCAUUCAGUAGAUGCAGCUAGUAAAGUGUACAAGGAGGAUACACAGGCUUGCUGUUCACAUUAAAGGAAAGCAUUCCCAGACCUAGAAACCAUCAACAGGAAAUUAUGAGAUGAGAGUGUACCUUCAUGCUGCUAUUCAUUCAUCACCUCUGUCAUCUAGAUAAUAUUCAAAGUUAAAUUCAGAUGUAUUUCUAGUUCUGAACAGAACUGUCAUAGUUCAGAUACAAGCUACACUAGUAAUGUCUUCACCUUUCAAAUUUCCUGCUCAUGGAAAAUUUACACUUUGUAAUCCAGCUGAAAUUCAAUAUUUGUGAGGCACUCUAUCCUCACUGUAGUGUUGUGCCAUCAGAGACUUCUUGUUGCAACCUUGAGUGGCAAGAUAGGGUGUCCUGUCCACAUAUGGACCUCAGCUACAUCUUCCAUGUUACCUGCUUCUCUUAAGAGAGGGACCUUGUAAACUGCUCCAGGAUGCUUUCCAUGUGUCUGAGUGAGUCCUGCAUUACCACGCUGUACAAGUAGGAUGGCUCUUUUCACAUAUACUAUUUUUCACCCUGAUAAUUCAAAUACCUGCAUGCUGGCCAGUCAGACCUUAAGUAGAUGUUCACUAAAAUAAAUGCUAG